rnacentral:rRNA from 1 species
GGAAAGGAAUUUGCUUAUUGCACCACAUGUGUUUUUCUUUGAAACAAACUUGCUUUGGCGGUGGGCCCAGCCUGCCGCCAGAGGUCUAAACUUACAACCAAUUUUUUAUCAACUUGUCACACCAGAUUAUUACUUAAUAUUCAAAACUUUCAACAACGGAUCUCUUGGUUCUCCCAUCAAUGAAAAACCCACCGAAAUGCGAUACGUAAUAUGAAUUGCAAAUAUUCUUGAAUCAUCAAAUCUUUGAACGCACAUUGCGCCCUCUGGUAUUCCGGAGGGCAUGCCGGUUUGACCGUCGUUUCUCCCUCAAACCGCUGGGUUUGGUGUUGAGCAAUACAACUUGGGUUUGCUUGAAAAACGGAAGUGGAAAGGCGGAAUCCCUUUGACAAGGGCUUAGGUCUAACCAAAAACAUUGCUUGCGGCGGAAACGUCCACCCCGUAUAUCUUCAAACUUUGACCUCAAACCAGGUAGGACUACCCGCUGAACUUAACCAUAUCAAUAACCGGAGGAAGGGA